AAUUUAGGCGACAACACCAUAACGACAAUAGAAGACAGUGCCUUUAGAGAUUUGAAAAAUUUAGGGAGACUGGAUCUGAGUAAAAACAAGGAAAUUACAUGAUAAUCCUUAUCACUACGAUUUUGAGUUAUUAGGCCUGAUCGAUUUCCUAAAUUCUGGACGUGUCAUCGUACCCGAAAACCCACGUUGCUUCACUCCUGGGAAUUUGAAAGGAACUGAAUUGGUCACUCUGUCAGCUGCAAACUUGGCCUGUCCCAAGAUAACCAAUUCUUCACCUUUGAAAGAAGAUCUGUAGAAUAUCAUGGGAUAAAAUAUCGUAAAUCU